AUUCCGGUUGAUCCUGCCGGAGGCUAUUGCUAUCGGGAUCCGAUUCAGGCAUGCUAGUCGUACGAGUUCAUACUCGUGGCGUAUAGCUCAGUAACACGUGGUCAAACCACCCUCUGGACUGAGAUACCCUCGGGAAACUGAGGUCAAUCUCGGAUACUGCUUUCACGUUGGAAAAACGGAAAGCUGGAAACGGUCCGCCGCCGGAGGACGUGACUGCGGCUGAUUAGGUAGACGGUGGGGUAACGGCCCACCGUGCCAAUAAUCAGUACGGGUUGUGAGAGCAAGAGCCCGGAGACGGAAUCUGAGACAAGAUUCCGGGCCCUACGGGGCGCAGCAGCCGCGAAACCUUUACACUGCACGACAGUGCGAUAAGGGGAUCCCGAGUGCGAGGGCAUACAGUCCUCGCUUUUCGUGACCGUAAGGUGGUCACAGAAUAAGGGCUGGGCAAGACCGGUGCCAGCCGCCGCGGUAAUACCGGCAGCCCGAGUGAUAGCCAAUUUUAUUGGGCCUAAAGCGUCCGUAGCUGGCCGAACAGGUCCGUCGGGAAAUCCACCCGCUUAACGGGUGGGCGUCCGGCGGAAACCAGUCGGCUUGGGGCCGGGAGACCAAAGGGGUACGUCCGGGGUAGGAGUGAAAUCCCGUAAUCCUGGACGGACCGCCGGUUGCGAAAGCGCCUUUGGAGAACGGACCCGACAGUGAGGGACGAAAGCUAGGGUCUCGAACCGGAUUAGAUACCCGGGUAGUCCUAGCCGUAAACGAUGCUCGCUAGUUGUGACGCAGGCUACGAGCCUGCGUUGCGCCGUAGGGAAGCCGAGAAGCGAGCCGCCUGGGAAGUACGUCCGCAAGGAUGAAACUUAAAGGAAUUGGCGGGGGAGCACUACAACCGGAGGAGCCUGCGGUUUAAUUGGACUCAACGCCGGACAUCUCACCGGCACCGACAACGUGCAGUGACGGUCAGUUUGAUGAGCUUACCUGAGCCGUUGAGAGGAGGUGCAUGGCCGCCGUCAGCUCGUACCGUGAGGCGUCCUGUUAAGUCAGGCAACGAGCGAG
rnacentral:rRNA from 1 species